rnacentral:hammerhead_ribozyme from 1 species
AUCCAGCUGACGAGUCCCAAGUAGGACGAAACACGCGUCCUGAAU